AGACUCCGUCUCAAAAAAUAAAUAAAAAUAAAACCUAUAAUCAAACAUGUGACUUUCAGGCACAUUUCCCAACCUCUACACUCAUUUGGAGUGGGAUCGUUCUCUGUUGUAGAGACUGUGUGCUGUAAGGUAUCUUCCAGCAUUCGUGGCCUCCUCCCCACUACCUGACUGGAUACCCCCUGCACACGCCACCCCCCACCCCAUUGGCAGCCAAAACUGACGCCUGCGGCGGGACCCAGCACCUAGCAGAGAAACAGCGCUCAGCGGAUGGUCAGAAAUGGUAGCGGGGAAACAGCGCUCAGCAGACGAUCGUUUCCCACCGUCUUGCCUCCUGUCUUCUGCUUUUGGUCUCUCUGGCCGCUGUGCACCUGUGGUUCUACCGCUGUGCCCACUUUCCGGAGAGGUAAUGAGACAGCGUGAGAGCUUGAAGCACAGGACAGAGGAGCAGAAUUCAGUGUCACACAUGCCUCUGCUGCCCGGGAGGAGAAGAGAUCGCGGGUCGGGGUAGGAUGUGAAUGAGAGGCAGAGGGGAGAAAACACGCGUGUCCACACGAGCACGUGCACACCCAUGUCCGGAGCGGCACGACUCACAGCCACAAAGCAGAGGCAACACAAGCAUCCAGCCACGAGAUGAAGUCCCGCUCUGUCACCCAG